GCGCUGCCGAUGGCCUGGGGGGGGUGUAACGGAGCCCUCAGGCCGCCCGGCCCCGGUUCCUGCCCGCCUAAACCCGGGAGCGGGGAAGGGACCGCCUUCAACGGCGUGUAACCGUCACCGGGGAAAAGGGCUAAUUGAAAGCACUUAAUUGGUAAGAAAACAAACCGGAAAGAAAAAUCAUAACGUUUCGUGCGAACGGUCGGUUCCACCGAAAGAUCCUCGGCAUCACCGUGAAGUUUAAGCCGCAGGACUGGGAACAAAAUGCUCCCGUCAGCAAGAAUUCAAAGCCGGGGAGAGGCUUCCCCGGUCCCGGGCUGCUGCGAGUCUGCGCCGGAUGCUCCAAGAGACGGGAAUUCUGCAGCCUCUGCGUUACCCUCCUGUGCAGCCCCAGUGGUCCCCCUGUAAACCGCCCGCCGAGCAACUGCGCCCUGACUCCAUCAGCAUUGUCGGGCGAAGAGAGGAGAGAAAGGAGAAAAUAGUCAGGCACCUUCUAACUGCAGUGUAACCAUCCCAAAAUUACAAAACCCGCCACCCCCCAGACCGAAAAGCAAGGCUUUAGGCAGCUUUGCAGUGUGGUGGAUGUGACAGCUCGGGGAGGGGAGGUGAAACCGGAGCAGCUCUGUGUUCGUGUGGAAACACUCACGAUCAAUAAAUAAAAUCUGUGCUCAAACA